UACGGAGGGUGCAAGCGUUAAUCGGAAUUACUGGGCGUAAAGCGUGCGCAGGCGGUUUGUUAAGUCCGCUGUGAAAUCCCCGAGCUCAACUUGGGAAUUGCAGUGGAUACUGGCAGGCUGGAGUAUGGUAGAGGAAGGUGGAAUUCCCGGUGUAGCAGUGAAAUGCGUAGAUAUCGGGAGGAACACCUGUGGCGAAAGCGGCGCACUGGACCACAACUGACGCUGAGGCGCGAAAGCUAGGGGAGCAAACAGG
rnacentral:rRNA from 1 species